rnacentral:rRNA from 1 species
UACGAAGGGGGCAAGCGUUACUCGGAAUUACUGGGCGUAAAGGGCAGGUAGGCGGUUUGGUAAGUCUGUUGUGAAAGCUCCCGGCUUAACUGGGAGAGGUCAGCGGAUACUGCUGAACUUGAGUAUAGGAGAGGUUACUGGAAUUCCCGGUGUAGCGGUGAAAUGCGCAGAGAUCGGGAGGAACACCAAUGGCGAAAGCAGGUAACUGGACUAUUACUGACACUCAGCUGCGAAAGCUAGGGGAGCAAACAGG